AACUUUAUCCAAAAUAAUCAAAGAAUAAGGUGAAAAGGCGAAACAUUCAACAUUAACUAUUCUUUUCAACAUAAAGAAAAUAACUUUACAUGCUAAAAAUAAACAUAUUCAACAAUAAUGAGUUUAAACAAGACAUGAUUAUAUUUUUCAAGCAAAGAUCUAAACUUUAUCCAAAAUAAUCAAAGAAUAAGGAGAAAAGGCGAAACAUUCAACAUUAACUAUUCUUUUCAACAAAAAAAAAAUAACUUUACAUGCAAAAAUCAAAUAUAUCCAACAACAAUGAGUUUAAACAAAGCAUAAAUACAUAUUUUAAGCAAAGAUUGAAACUUUAUCCAAAAUAAUCAAAGAAUAAAGUAAAAAAAAAAAAAGACACAUACAACUAUUGUUAGCUCAUUUUUAUAUCAUGAACAUGAAAAUAAUUAGAAUAUCGAUACCACAACGUCCUAGGGCCUUUAAGGCCAUCUACAACAUAAAAUUCCAGCAAACAAAAUUAUAUCUACGAACUAUGAAGAAGAAAAAAGAUGAAGAAGAAAACGAUAAUAAAAACUAAAAAAAAAUGUUUGUUUACCUUUUUGGGGGCAGCAAAACGAGACUACGAGUUUCGUCGGAAUCAACCACCACUAAAAAAAUGUCGUUGGCAACUUGAAAUUUUUUAUUAGCUGACCAACUCUAUAAAACAAAAAUUUUUACUAAAUAAAAAUAACUAUUUUUCUCUUUUUACCUUUCUAGCAUUUUUUUCCUUACUUUUUAACCAAAGUAGUGGUAGUAUUUAUAGGAGAGAAUGAGAUUUAUUUUUUCCACCAAUGUGGGAGAAAAGUAUUUAUUUAAAAGGAUGAGGAUUUAUUUCUUGUCCUCCACCAAUGUGGGAGAAAAAGCAAAUAAAGGUGUUUUUGAAAUUUUAAAAUUGAAGAUAAGGUGAGGUGGAAGAUAAUGUGGGGAAAAAUUGUACAAUGUAGUACAACUUUUGAAUUUCAAAAUUGGGAAAAGACAAAAUUUGGGGGAAAUAGUACAAUGUAGUACAAUUUGAAAUUAUUUUUUUGUGGAAUUAGGUAGAAGUUAUGAGAGUUUUGGAGAAUUUUGGGGUUAUUUAAAAUAUAACCUCAAUUGAGAUUUAAAAUUUAGUCAUAUUUAUUUAAUUUUGACCAAAUUACAAAUUAAUUGACGGAUUGCAUUACAAUUAUGGCCAAUUUGAUUUCAAUUAUGGCCAAAUCUACUUGAUUGACUAAAUUAAAUUGAACUUCGAUGCGAAUUAAUACUUUCUUUAAUCCCGGGCUUCUUGAUUUUAUAAAAUCAAACACAUAUUUAUCCGAAUAAAUUAUUUUUUGAGAGUAGAUUAUAUUUAAAUCAAAACUUUAAUUAUUUGAAUCUAUAAACCUUGAUUAAAAUCCGAUAUUUUAAAAAAUAAAUAUUUAAGUAAUAAAAUUAUAAAAUCUCGUAUAAUUGAAUACGAUAAAUUAUAAUCACUACUUAAAAUGAUAAAAUUAAGUACAAAUAUAUUUAAUAAAUUUUUAUUCGGAUGAAAUAAAUAUUUUAAUUUUAUUAAAAAUCAAAGAAACUCAGGAUUAAAUUUAGUCGUAGAGGGAAAAAAUUAGGUGUCAACUAUUGUCCCUCCCUUUGGGUAGGGUGGAUGCAAGUAACCCUGGGCAAAGGGAGGUUGGCGUUCCUAAUUUUUGUCCGGCCAUAGAUUCAUACCUGAAUAAGUUACGACCGGACCUCGGUAUUAGGUUUCCUACAUAUCUCAGGUUACAUGAGAAUUCAGGCCAUUUGUAGUUAGACUCACCCACUAUUACGGUUUUAGAGUUUUUGGUUAAACCGAGAAGCUGGGGAAUAAACGGAUUUAGGGGAGGUUGGAAUGCAGUUGAGUUUUCCACGUAGAACCCAACCUACAUAUCUCGAAGACUCAGGGAAUCAGACUGCUUGUAGUUUGACUCAAUCGGUAGAAAAGAUAGCCUUUUAUUUCAAACGAUCUUUGGCUCAGUCUGAGUGACAAGUUGAUUGAGUUGCAGAAAAAAGGAUUGUAACAUCUUAACCAUGAACGUGGAGCUCUUCACAUCCAUAGGUAAGAAUUUACCUGGACAUAAUUUGCAAAACUCUAGGUGUGUUGUCACUCGUAUUUGAAAGAAAGAGAACUUUACCCUCGGUAUGAGUUUACGAAUAUCCCAAAGGUGAAGCUGAAACCAGAAUAUCCCAGAAUUCCCACAUGCCUUCUAAUAGGGGUAUGGUUGGAUGGUGGUUGCGAUCAUCCUUUAGCUCGCAUCCAAAGAGUUUGACGUCCCUCUUUAGACUAUGUCCCAUUUUGCUGCUAAGAAAGAAUUCCAUGUUGUGCUGCGUCCUUUUUGGAGUCGUCCGCACCUGUGGUUUUAAUUUAAGAUUUUCAUCCGCUCAGAUUCUCUCGACAAUAUCUCAAGCAAAAAGUGUUAGUGCUAAACAUAACUCACAAAAGAGGUAUGUAGUCUUUUACCAUAUCUCUACGUGAGUUGUGGUCUGAAAAGCGGAGUCAUAUCUUCAUGUACCUGUUUGGAAUGAAAUAACUGGCAACAACAAACACAACAACCCUCUUGGUUGUUGUAUAAUUAUGAUAUUUGUUGGUUGAAUAUGUCUUCAAAGUGGGGUGGCUCUUUUGGACACCGGCGAUACUUUAUGCGGAACGGUCCCUACAACCGUGUGAUCUUGUGUUGGUGUGGCAACCCUUUUGGUUACCUAUAUCACUUGUUGUAUGUGGAAAGAUAACCUCUUCGAUUAUAACCGAUGAUCAAUUUAUAAAUUUUUCUUAAAUUAUAAAUCUUUGGAUAAUCUUGCAUAUUAUAUGAUGUUGGAUACAAGGCGACUUGCAGAUAUCCUUUGAAUUUCUAGGUUUAAGGUAAUCCUGCACAUUAUCCGACAUUGGAUAAGAUAUGACUUAUAGAUAUCCCUCGAAUCGCUAGCUUUCAGGUGUUUCUGCACAUCAUCCGACCUUGGAUACAAUAUGAGUUAUAGAUAAUCUCUCAAAUUAUUAGUCUUUGGGUAAUCCUGCACAUAAUCGAUCUUGGAUAUGACGCGGCUUAUAGAGAACCCUUAGACGUAUCAAUUUGAUAAUCUUGUAUAUUCUCCGGUAAGGAUUUAGUUGCGACUUAUGGAUAACCUUUGAACUAUCGAUUUUUAGGUGAUCUUGCACACUAUCCGGUUAGGAUUUUGUUGAGAUUACGGAUGAACUAUAGGAUAUCAACUUAUAGGUGAUCUUGCACACUAUCCUAUUUCAAAUAAUAUGACUUAUAGAUGACCCUCAAAUUGUCAAUUUCUAGAAAAUCUUAUAUAUCAUUCAUCUUUAGAUAGCGACUUAAAGGCGGCUCUUCAAAUCGUGUGCUCUCGAUACAUUCAGAUGCUGAUUCAUAAAAUGAUGAGAUAUCCUUAACGCUAGCAUUUGUGUCUUGCGUGUCAACAGAUAUAAAAUGAUGAUGAUAUCUUCGACGCCAGUGUUUUGUCUUGCAUGUCAACAGAUAUAUUGAAUGUUGAUGAUAUCCUCGACGCCAGUGUUAUGUCUAGCGCAUCAACAAAUAUUGAAUAAUGAUGAUAUCCUCGAUACCAGUGUUGUGUCUUGCGGGUCAACAGAUAUAUUGCUAAUGAUAUCCUCAAUGCCAGCAUUGUGUCUCACGUGUCAACAGAUAUAUGAAUGUUGAUGAUAUCCUCGACGCCAGCAUUGUGUCUCAUAUGUCAACAGAUAUAUGAAUGUUGAUGAUAUCCUCGACGCCAGUGUUGUGUCUCACGUGUCAACAGAUAUAUGAAUAGUCUUCUUUGGAGAUGGUAUAAGAUAACCCUCUUGGCAAUGAUAUGCAAUGGCCUUUGCGGCAAUGAUAUGCAAUGGCCCUUACGGCAAUAAUAUGCAAUGGCCCUUUCGGCAAUGAUAUGUAAUGGCCCUUUCGGCAAUGGCCCUUUCGGCAAUGAUAUGCAAUGGCCCUUUCGGAAAUGAUAUGCAAUGGCCCUUGCGGAAAUGAUAUGCAAUGGCCCUUGCGGCAAUGAUAUGCAAUAGCCUUGCAGCAAUGAUAUGCAAUGGCCUUUGCAGCAAUGAUAUGCAAUGGCCCUCUUGGCAAAUUUUAAAGUAAUUUUACCCGACUUCAUUUGUCAGCGCCUUGCUUUUUACAUGUACCUGUACUCAAGGUAGACGAUUAGUAGACAAAAGUCGCUUUUACUAGCGACUAUUUUUAGGUAACUUCUAAAUACAAUGUUUGUAAAGAAGAAAAGGCGCUUUUGUUUGUCGCCCAUGAUCUCAAGAAAUGAGAUGGACAAAUCAGAAGGUCCUCAAUAAAUGGGUAUUAAACCUAUUUUUAGGGCUACCCUAAACUACCGUUCUUGGGCAUUAAUGCUAUGUUGUGGCUCCCAAUUUGCUCGGGGAUUUUUUAAGGAGACCCUCACUUUCGUGUAUUAAUCCCUGCAUCCAUAGAAAGAUGAUUAGUUUGAAUGAAAUUACUCUGUGUUGACCUUCUUCGAUCCUUGAUUUGCUGUUUUCCAUCUCUUGGGUAUUCCGCCAUGUCGGUACUUCCAUCCCUGGUGAUGUCUAGGCAAGUGCUAAUAAGUGAGAUGUAAGAUUUUUUUGAAAAUAGUCUUAAGUUAUAGAAAAUAUUUCGAAAGCUUCUGUAAAAGAACGUCUUCCUCCUGGUUUUGACUCUAUCUGACGGAUGAUUUCCAAAGCUCAUGAUCAUUUUUGGAGGUUUUCUUCAAGUAGUUCUAUCAUAGCAAGAAUUGAGCUUGUCUAGACUUUGUCGUAGAUGACUACUUUAAAAGCUUGGCCUUAAUCUUUGGUGCUGGGGGAAUUUGGAAUAUGUUCCAGCAUCUAGUGGAAAUUUUGAGGUCUUUCCUCUAUAUUUCUGCCCCAGUUUAGAGUUGUUUGAGAUGAUACCAACUCGAGUGAAUCUGAAGUCUUUGCUGAUCUUUAUUCUCUUUGUUGGACGUCGAUCUUCUCUUGUGAAUUUUUGAGAUUCCUUCUCAAAAAUUUUGUCCUAGUUUCUAUUUCCUGGGGUUAUAUGACCCGAGUCGUUGGGGCACCUACGUAUCCCGUUGAAGCAGGAAUCAGGUCAAACGUAGUACAAAACUACGCUAAGGAUAUUUAGAAAAAUCUAAUAGGUUGACCGAAGCCAACAUAGGCCGCCUGCGUAGCUGAUUCUUGAGAAUUCAGGUCAUCACGUAGUUCAUACAUAAAAGGAAAGGAUAAAUUUUCCUAAGGGAUUGAUCGAAGCCGACAUAGGCCGCCUACGUAUCUCAUUCUUGAGAAUUCAGGUCAAACGUAGUUCGUACAUAAAAGGAAAUGAUAAAUUUUCCUAAGGGAUUGACCGAAGACGACAUAGGCCGCCUACGUAUCCUUUUUCGGGAAUUCAGGUCAAACGUAGUUCGUACAUAAAAGGAAAUGAUAAAUUUUCCUAAGGGAUUGACCGAAGCCGACAUAGGCCGCCUACGUAUCCCUUUUUGGGAAUUCAAUUCAAACGUAGUUCUUACAUAAAAGGAAAUGAUAAAUUUUCCUAAGGGUUGACCGAAGCCGACAUAGACCACCUACGUAUCCCUUUUAUGGAAUUCAGGUCAAACGUAGUUCGUACAUAAACUCAUAAUGGCCCUAAAAAUACUCUUACCCAUCUUACUAGGAUAUAAAUAAGUACUUCUACGAAUGACAUGACAUUUGCAUUGUGUUUGUCUUGAUAGAACAAAGGAUCAAAUGUCUGUUUUGCGAAAAUUUUGACUUUUGAAGAGAGUCACCACUUAAUUUUGAAAUUGAAUUCAGAAACCUUUAGAGAGUUACUUCAAACGAUUCAAAACAGGAAAAUCAUUGUAAGUUAGAGAUUCUAGAUAAGCGAUUCCUAUUAACAUUAUAGGAAGGUGUUAGGCACCUAAAACGUCUGCUAACUUGCGGUUAUCCGGACUGUUUGAAAAUCGUCUUUUGAUUAACUUCGAAAAGAUUAAUUUGUUGAAAUAGUGAUUUGAUUUUUUCAAAAAAAAAAAAAGACGUGUAAAAUAGAUUUAGGCGACUUAGUAGGGAUUUUAACUAAAGUCUAAAUAAAACUAAUAAACAAAUAAAAGGGGAAGGGAGGAGAAAGUAAAGGAUUUAGGCCAUUAGGCCCAAAUCAACGAGACCUGUCCUAGUCUAGUUGGGCUUCCAGCCCAUUUCACCUGUCCUAAAUUAUUUUUUGAGCCUUUGGCUCGAGUUUUGCUCCACCUGUAUUAAAUACAACUUUGGCUUUGAGGCCGAAAUAAUGAAUAAAUAAAUGAAUAAAUGAAUAAAUAAAAAGAAGACAAUAAUAAAAAUUGAGACUUUUCAAGUCUUUUAGUGACCUCAUCAAUGGGUUUUGACCCAUUUUCCUUCUUUGUCUAUCUUCUAGCACCCGCACGCCAUGUAGAAAUUAAUAUAUGUUCAAGGCAUAAAAGUGACAUAUUUCAAAGUAAAAGAAACUAUCAAGAACCAAUUUUUGAAUGACAAUGAUAAGCACACUUGCACAAGAAUGAGAGUCAACAAAUAAAAAAUGCAAAGCAAAAGUUUCUGAAAUGUAAGUUUCUGAAUAAGCACACUUGCACAAGAAUAGAGAUUUAUUUCUUGUCAUCUACCAAUGUGGGAGAGAAAGCAUUUAGGGGGUUUUUGAAAUGUAAAAAUUAAAGAUAAGGUAAGGUGGAAGAUAAUGUGGGGGAAAAUAGUACAAUGUAGUACAAUCUUUGAAUUUCAAAAUUGGAAAAGGACAAAGUUGGGGGAAAUAGUACAAUUUGNNNNNNNNNNNNNNNNNNNNNNNNNNNNNNNNNNNNNNNNNNNNNNNNNNNNNNNNNNNNNNNNNNNNNNNNNNNNNNNNNNNNNNNNNNNNNNNNNNNNNNNNNNNNNNNNNNNNNNNNNNNNNNNNNNNNNNNNNNNNNNNNNNNNNNNNNNNNNNNNNNNNNNNNNNNNNNNNNNNNNNNNNNNNNNNNNNNNNNNNNNNNNNNNNNNNNNNUGCAAUUAUGACCAAUUUUCAAUUAUGGUCAAAUCUAAUAGAUUGGCUAAAUUAAAUUAAAAUUUGAUAAGAAUUAAUACCUUUUUUUUUUAAUCCCGAGCCUCUUGAUUUAAUAAAAUGAAUGCAUAUUUAUCCAAAUAAAUUAUUUUUGAGAAUAAAUUAUAUUUAAAUUAAGAUUUCACUUAAUUUAUUUUCAAGAUAAGCCUUAAUUAAAUCCGAUAUUUUGUAAAAUAAAUAUUUAAGUAACAAAUUAUAUAAUCUCGUAUAACUGAACACGAUAGUAUAUAAUCGCUACUUAAAAUGACAAAAUCACGUACGAAAAAUAUUUUAAGUUUUUUAUAAUUUGGAUGAAAUAAUUAUUUUGGUUUAUUAAAAACUAAAGAAACUCAAGAUUAAAUUUAGUCGUAGAGAACAAAAAUUAGGUGUCAACAGCUGCCCUCUCCCUUUGGGUAGGGUGGAAGUAAGUAACCCUGGGCAAAGGAAGGUUGACGUUCCUAAUUUUUGUCCGAUCAUAGAUUCGAAUCUGAAAGAGGUUGGUUUUCGCACGAGUUUCAUAGAGUCAUGGCCGGAUCUCGGUAUUAGGUUUCCUACAUAUCUCAGGUUACAUGAGAAUUCAAGCCACUUGUAGUUCAUAGAGCUUGAUUUAAAGCACGAUUUUCAAAAAAUUCACAAGUUAUCUCAGUUUUAGAGCGUUUGAUAAAACUGAGAAACUGGGGAAUAAAGGGAUUAGGGGGGAGGUUGGAAUACAGUCGAGUUUUCUACAUAGAUCCCAGCCUACAUAUCCCCAAGAUUUCAGGGAAUCAGACUACUUGUAGUUUGACUCAAUUGGUAGAAAACAUAGUCUUUUAUUUCAGACCAUCUUUGGCUCGGAAUGAGUGUCAAGUUGAUUGAGUUAUAUAAAAGAGGCUUGUAACCUCUUAACCAUGAAUGUGGGAUCCUUCACAUCCAUAGUCAAGAACUUACCUGGACAUAAUUUCCAAAACUCUAAGUGUGUUGCCACCCGAAUUUGAAAAAAAGAGAAGGUUACCCUCGGCGUGAGUUUAAAAAUAUCCAGAAGGUGAAGCUGAAACCAGAAUAUUCUGAAAUACCCACAUGUCUUCUAACAGGGGUGUGGUUGGAUGGUGGUGGUGAUCAUCCUUUAGCUCGCGUCCAAAGAGUUUGACGUUCCUCUUUAGACUAUGUUCCAUUUUGCUGCUAAGAAAGAGUUCCACGUUGUGUUACGUCCUACCUGAAGUCGUCCGCACUUGUGGUUUUUAUUUGAGAUUUUCAUCAUCUCGGAUGCUCUCAACAAUGCUUCAAGCAAAAAGUGUUAGUACUAAACAUAAUUCAUGAAAGAGGUAUGUACUCUUUACCAUAUCUCCACGUGAGUUGUGGCCUAAAAAGUGAAGUCAUCCUUUAUUGUACCUAUAUCACUUGUUGUAUGUGGCAUGAUAACCUCUCCGGUUGUUGCCGAUGAUCGAUUUAUAAAUUUUUCCUAAAUUGUCAAUCUUUAGAUGAUCUUGCGUAUUAUUUUAUGUUGGAUACGAGGUGACUUACAGACUUUUAGGUUAUCCUGUACGUCAUUCGACUUUGGAUAAGAUAUGACUUACAGAUAUCCCUCUAAUCGCCAGCUUUCAGGUGUUCCUGCACAUCAUCCGACCUUGGAUAAAAUAUGACUUAUAGAUAAUCCCUCAAAUUGAUCGUCUUUGAGUAAUUCUGCACAUAAUCGAUCUUGGAUAUGACGCGGCUUAUAGAGAACCCUUGGACGUAUCAAUUUGACAAUCUUGUAUAUCCUCCGAUAAGGAUUUAGUUGCGACUUACGGAUAACCUUUGAACUAUCAACUUUUGGGCGUCUUGCACACUAUCCGGAUAGGAUGUUAUUAUGGCUUACGGAUGACCUACAGGCUAUCAACUCAUAGGUGAUCUUGCACACUAUCUUAUUUCAAAUAAUAUGACUUAUAGAUGACCUUCAAAUUGUCAAUUGCUAGGAAAUCUUAUAUAUCAUUCAUCCUUAGAUAGCGACCUGAAGGCGUCCCUCCAAAUCGUGUGCUCUUAAUGUAUUCAAAUACUGAUUCAUGAAAAUAUGAUGAUAUCCUCAACGCCAGCAUUGUGUCUAGCGUGUCGAUAGAUAUAUUGAAUGUUGAUGAUAUCCUCGACGCCAGCGUUGUGUCUAGCGUGUUGAUAGAUAUAUUGAAUGUUGAUGAUAUCCUCGACACCAGCGUUGUGUCUAGCGCGUCAACAGAUAUUAAAUGUUGAUGAUAUCCUCGACGCUAGCGUUGUGUCUAGCGUGUCGACAGAUAUAUUGGAUACUGAUGAUACCUUCUACGCCAGCAUUGUGUCUAACGUGUUGACGAAUAUUGAAUGCUGAUGAUAUCCUCUAUGCCACGUUGUGUCUAGUGUGUCGUCAAAUAUUAAAUGAUGAUGAUAUCCUCGAUGCCAGCAUUGUGUCUAGCACGUCAACAAAUAUUGAAUGCUGAUGAUAUCCUCAAUGGCAGCAUUGUGUCUAGCGCCUUAAUAGAUAUUGAUGCAGAUGAUAUCCUCGAUGCCAGCAUUGUGUCUAGCGCAUCAACAGAUAUGUAAUGGCCUAUGCGGCAAUGAUAUAUGAUGGCCUUUGCAGAAAUGAUAUGCAAUGGCCAUUGUGGCAGUGAUAAAAUAAUUUUACCUGGCUUUAUUUGUCAGUGUCCUGCUUUUUACAUGUACCUGUACUCAAGGUAGACGAUUAGUACACACAAAGUCACUUUUACUAGCGACUAUUUUUAGGAAACUUCUAAAUGCGAUACGUGUAAAGAAGACAAAGUGCUUUUGGUUGUCGCCUACAAUCUCAAGAAAUGAGAUGGACAAAUCAAAAGGUCCUCAAUAAAUGGGCAUUAAACCUAUUUUUGGGGCUGCCCUAAAAUAUCAUUCUUGGGCAUUAAUGAUCUGUUGUGGCUCCCAAUUUGCUCGGGGAUUUUUGAAAGAGACUCUCAUUUUGCGUAUUGAUCCCUACAUCCAUAGAAAAAUGAUUAGUUGAAUGAGAUUACUCCAUGUUGACCUUCUUCGAUCCUUGAUUUGCUCCUUCCCAUCUCUUGGGCAUUCCACCAUAUUGAGACUUUCAUCCUAACACUCUAUCCCAAAUGAUGUCUAGGCAAGUACUAAGUAAGUGAGUCGUAAGAUUUUUGAAAAUAGUCUUAAAUUUUAAAAAUAAUUUUGAAAACUUCAGUAAAAUUUUAGAAAAUUUCUGCCAGUCAUGUCAUGUACUAGCUCAAUGAACGUCUUCCUCGCGGUUCUGACUAUAUCCGAUGGAUGGUUUCCAAAACUCAAGAUUAUUGUUGGAGGGUUUCUUCAAGUAGUUCUAUCAUAGCCAAAAAUUGAGUCUACCCAGACUUUGUUACAGUUGGUGAUUUCCAAAGCUUUAACCUCUGGUGCUGGGGAAUUUGGAAUAUGUCCCGGCAUUUGGUGGAAAUUUUGAGGUCUUCCUCAAAAUUUCUGCCCCAGUUUAAACUUGUUUGAGAUAAUACCAAUCUGAGUGGAUCUGAAGUCUUUGCUGAUCUUCAUUCUCUUUGUUGCAUGUCGAUCUUCUCUUGUGAAUUUUCAAGAUUUCUUCUUGAAAAUUCUGCCCCGAUUUCCAUUUCCUAAGGUUAUAUAACCGAGCCGUUGAGGCGCCCACAUAUCUAGUUGAAGUAGGAAUAAGGUCAAACGUAGUUCAAGCUAUGCUAGAGAUAUAGAAAAGAAAUUAAUGGGUUGACCAAAGCCGACAUAGGCCGCCUACGUAUCCCUUUUAUUGGGAAUUCAGGUCAUCACGUAGUUCAUACAUAGGGGGGAAAGGAUAAAUUUUCCUAAGGGGUUGACCGAAGCCAACAUAGGCCGCCUACGUAUCCCUUUCUUGGGAAUUCAGGUCAAACGUAGUUCAUGCAUAAAGAGAAAGGAUUCUAGGCAGUUACACACUAGAAAACAACAUUAUAACAAAGGUGAUUACAAACAAACUAAGAAAACAUAAAAACUAGAACGUUAUUCAAACAUAAUAUCUCUUUACCACAUCAGAAUUGAUUGGUUUGGUCCACUCUGUGCCAUCCAUCUCAAACAAAAUUAGAGCUCCUCCAGAUAGCACCUUGCUAACUAUGUAUGGCCCUUGCCAGUUUGGAACGAACUUGCCCUUGUACUCCUCUUGGUGAGGGAAUAUUCGUUUGAGAACCAGUUGCCCCACUUCAAAUGCUCGAGUUCUUACCUUCUUGUUAAAGGCACCAACCAUCCUGUGUUGAUACAGCUGACCAUGGCAUACAACGGCAAUUCUCUUUUCAUCAAUUAACAUGAAUUAUUUAUAGCGAGCACGGACCCAUUCUUCGUUACUCAGUCCAGCUUCCUGAAUAAUCCUUAGGGAAGGUAUUUCGACCUCAGCAGGUAUCACAGCUUCAUUCUCGUAAACUAGUAAAUAGGGAGUUGCUCCUGUAGAGGUUUGAACUGUUGUUCGAUACCCUAGCAAGGCGUAAGGUAACAUCUCAUGCCAUGAUCUAUCAUUUUUGACCAUCUUUCUUAAGAUCUUCUUAAUAUUCCUGUUAGCAGCUUCUAUGGCUCCAUUCAUUUGGGGACGGUACGCUGUCGAGUUGUGAUGCACAAUCUUGAACUGAUCACAAAUUUCUUUCAUCAAGUAACUGUUCAGGUUUGCCCCAUUAUCAGUAAUAAUUGAUUCUGGCACUCCAAAUCGACAAAUCAAGUUAUUCCUGACAAAAUCUACAACCACUUUCUUAGUGACGGCUCUGUAUGAAGUUGCUUCAACACACUUAGUGAAAUAAUCGAUGGCGACUAAAAUAAAUCUAUGUCCAUUCGAUGCCAAUGGCUCUAUUGGUCCGAUAACAUCCAUGCCCUAAGCUACGAAAGGCCGAGGAGAAUUCAUUGCACGAAUCUCGUGUGGAGGCAUUCGAAUCAGAUCUCCGUGUAUUUGGCAUUUUGGAUAUCUCUGCACAAACUUACUACAAUCAUUUUCCAUAGUCAUCCAGAAGUAACCGGUUCUCAGGAUCUUUCUGGCAAGGACAAACCCAUUCAUGUGGGCCCCAUAAACUCCAGUGUGUACCUCGUUUAUCAACUUAUUGGCUUCCGCCGCAUCGACGCAUAUUAGGAAUCCCAAUUCAGGAGUCCUCCUAUAAAGAAUUUCUCCACUUGGAAAGUAAUUCUUUGCCAAACGCCGGAUUGUCUUAUUUUGGUUGUUACUAGCCUCUUCAGGAUAUAUUCCAGAUUCCAAAUACCUCUUAAUGUCAUAGUACCAAGGCCUUACAUCAAGCUUCUCUUCCACGUGUAUGCAAUACGCGGGUUGCUCCUUCAGGCUUAUUUUCAAAGAAUCGAUGUAGCUCUGAUCCGGGUGCUGAAUCAAGGAAGAUAUCGUGGCCAAAGCGUCAGCAAAAUCGUUUUAUGUCCAUGGGAUAUGUCUGAAAUCAUCAUUUUUGAAUCUUCCGCAUAAUUCUUGCACCAGCUCCACAUAAGGAGUACUCUUGGAGUUUUUUACCGCCCAUUCUCCCCGUACCUGGUGAAUCAGCAAAUCUGAAUCUCCGUUGGCUAGCAAUUCACGAACACCCAUAUCAAGUGCCAAUUUGAGCCCCAAGAUACAAGCUUCAUAUUUAUCCAUGUUGUUGGUGCAUGGAAAAUGUAACUUAGCAGUUACCGAAUAAUGUCGGCCCGUUUCUGAUACCAAAACUGCUCCAAUUUCUGAACCUUUGAAGUUGACCGCCCCAUCAAAAAAUAGCCUCCAUCCGGGGUAGAUUUUUGUGAUAUCUUCUCCUACGAACAAAACUUCCUCGUUUGGAAAGUAUGUCUGAAUGGCUCGUAUUUCUCAUCAACUGGGUUUUUAGCCAAAUAAUCUGCUAAGGCUUGCCCCUUGAUUGCUUUUUGGGUUACAUACACAAUGUCAAACUCACUCAGCAACAUUUGCCACUUGGCUAGCUUUCCUGUAGGCAUGGCCUUCUGGAAUAUAUACUUUAAUCGAUCCAUUCUCGAGAUGAGGUAAGUUGUGUAGGAUGAUAGAUAAUGCCUCAACUUUUGUGCCGUCCAAGUCAAAGCACAACAUGUCCUUUCUAUAAGAGUUUAACGGGCUUCAUAUGGUGUGAACUUUUUACUCAAGUAGUAAAUGGCUUUCUCUUUCCUGCCGGUCUCAUCAUGUUGCCCGAGGACGCAUCCGAAAGCAUUUUCUGAGUCUAACAGGUAAAGCAAUAAUGGAAUUCCUUCUCUCGGUUGGACCAAAACUGGUGGUGCAGACAAGUAUUCCUUGAUGCGAUCAAAAGCUCUCUGACAUUCUUCUGUCCACUCAUUCAGUGCAUUUUUCUUCAACAUCUUGAGAAUUGGCUUGCAUAUGACUGUUGAUUGAGCGAUGAAUCUGCUAAUGUAAUUCAGAUGACCCAGGAAACUCAUAAUUUCUUUCUUGGUCCUCGGCGGUGGCAAGUCUUGAAUUGUCUUGAUUUUGGAUGGGUUUAGCUCGAUCACCCUUCUGCUGACUACGAACCCCACAACUUCCCUGAUGGCACGCCAAAAGCAUACUUAGCAGGAUUUAACUUCAAACUGUACCUUCUUAAUCUAUUGAAGAAUUUCUUCAGAUGAGUUAGAUGAUCCGAACUCUCGUGGGAUUUGAUAAUUACAUCAUCCACGUACGCUUCAAUCUCCUUAUGAAUCAUAUCAUGGAAAAUCGCCGUCAUGGCCCUCAUAUAUGUCGCACCUGCAUUUUUGAGACCAAACGGCAUUACCCUAUAAUGAUAAACACCCCAGGGCGUAAUAAAAGCCAUUUUUUCUGCAUCUUCCUCAUCCAUCAGUAUAUGAUGAUAGCCGGCGAAACAAUCAACGAAUGACUGCAUUUCAUAUUUUGCACAGUUAUCGAUGAGAAUGUGGAUGUUAGGCAAUGGAAAAUUAUCUUUAGGACUGGCUCUGUUCAAGUCUCUAUAGUCAACACAAAUUUGAAUCUUGCCAUCCUUCUUUGGUCAACCAUGUCGGAUAUUUUGUGACCUCGACAACCUUAGACCGAAUUUGUUUUGUCACUUCUUCCUUGAUCUUUAGACUUAAAUCUGACUUGAAUUUUCUCAUUUUUUGCUUGACUGGAUCAAACUCAGAAUUUAUCAACAAUUUAUGUGACACAAUGCUGGUGCUCAACCCUGGCAUAUCAUCAUAGGACCAAGCAAACACGUCGAUAUAAUCCUGUAAUAGGUGGAUGAGCUCUUCCCUUUGUGGCGCCGUGGGGUGGACAAUGAUACUGGUCUCUUUGAUUUCAUCGUGAUCUCCCAAGUUGACUGUUUCAUUUUUUUUCAGAUUGGGUUUUUCGCGAUUCUCAAAUUCCUCUAUAUCUUCAACUAACUGUUCCUCGUCAUUGUCCUUCCAACCAUCAUCGUCCCUUUCAUUUUGUUCGUUCAGGAUUUGACAUGACAUAACAUUGGUAGGUUUUAAGCUACUGUUACUGUAAUGGACAAACAAACUAAGUUAGAUGAUAAGAAAAUAACAAAACAUAUGAAUAGGGGCAUUUUCAAACUAAUAUAGUUUUCCAAAUAAAUUAAGGCCUUUUCAUUAAAAUUUGAGAAAUAAUUACAACACUAUGGCUUGUGACUUGCACAAAUACAAGCCCCCACCUUUUUUGAAAGCAGUAUGAUAUGAAAAUAAAGUUUUGAGAUAUAAAAGGUAGAUCGCGGGGCCUCCUCCAGAUCAUCACCGAUUUUAAAACUAUUAGUAAUUGGCCUUUCAUCUACCACGAUAGGCAACGAGUUAUGAGUGGAGUGGAGGUCCAAUUUUGCAAAUCCUCCCGUGGCGCAAUCUGCUUCACCCCGUUGGACUCUGGGAGAUCUUCUGGUACAGCAUUGCAUCCUUCAAACAAAUCUCCUAUCCCAUCCCCAAGACCAUCAUCAUCUGACAUCUCUCAUAUGGGAAAUGACUGGAACAGGAGUGGCAAAGGCCUAAACAGACUCUUUUCUGGAUCAUCGUCAACUCUAUCUCUUCUGGUAGGCUGAUACCCUAACCUGUGCUUAGAGCUUCUCUCUAGUAUCACAAUAGGCUCGAUAAUUCCUUAUAAAUUCUUGUCCAAGCCUCGACCAGGUUUGAACCUAUUUCUUAACAUCACAGUUGCAAUCAUUUUGUAGACAGAAGGCAUUGAUAUUUUGGGUAUCGAAUCUCUUUUCGCAGUGUUUACAAUUUCCACUGUAUAGAAACUGCUACCUUUUGCAACAUCUUCAAUCACCGGCACAUAACCAUUGGGACGGUCCGCUUGACUUCCUUCUCCUUGGAUGACUACUUCAUGAUCUUUCCAAAUGAACUUCAAUAAUUGAUGAAGUGGUGAUGAAAUUGCCAUUGCCCCGUGUAUCCAUGGUCUUCCCAAAAGCAGGUUGUAGCUAGGAUGGAUAUCCAUAACAUGAAACUUAGUCUUAAACUUAGCAGGCCCCAUUUGGAUGUGCAAAUCAAUCUCUCCUUUGGUAUAUCUCUGUCCUCCAUCGAAUUCUCUCAUAUUUAUGUGGCUUUGAUGAAUUUUCCCCAGAUCAUAGCCUAUUUGGACCAGCGUAGAGAGGGGAUAAAUAUUCAUACCAGAUCUAUCGUCUAUUAGUACCUGAUUAAUUGCAUAAUCACGACAAAUGACAGUGACAUGCAUGGCUUUGUUGGUCAUUGCUCCUUCAAACGGCAACUCUUCAUCACUGAAUGAUAUGCGAUGGUUCCCCACAAAGUUCCCUAUCAUCGCAGCCAAAUUCUCAACGCUCAUUCCUGCGGGAACAUAUGCUUCCUCUAAGACCUUCGAUAGAGCCUAUUGGUGGUGUUGCGAGCUGAAUAAUAGUGCCAAGACAGAGAUUUGGGCUGGCGUUUUCUCUAAGUGUUUGACAAUUGAGUAAUCCUUUGGUUGCGUACGCCUCCAAAAUUCCUCAACCUCUUCUUCAGUGAUUGGCCUUUUCUGUGAAUCUUUCUUGUUGGUCAAUUCCUCAGGGAUGUAAUAUCGUCCUGAUCGCAUCAUCCCCUAGGCAGCGGCGGUUUGCACAAUAAAUUCCUUCUUUGGAGGGGGAGUGUACACUUGAGUUAGUGCAAUCAUCACUAUAAAUGAGGCUUUCUCAUUGAUACUUAAGGCAGAUACAGCUUUCUCUAUCUUUCCUACCUCUUCCGCUCUUUUGCGCUUUUUGAAGUUCACCUGAGUAAUGGUCUUGCCAAAUGCCCAUUCGCCUUCUAUUUCACUCAUGUUAACUGUAGAUCCCCCAUGGUUGGGCAGUGGAUUACUGCUAAUAUUUGGAGUAGGUGCCUGGAGCGUGAUGACCUUUUGAUCAAUCAGAUCUUGGAUUCUUUAUUUCAAGAUAAGACAGUCCUCGGUACUAUGCCCUGCUGCCCCUGAAUGAUAGGCACAAUUUUGAUCAGGGUUGAGAGCUAGGAUUGAGAGGCUUUGGCUGUACUGGUUGCAAAUGACCAGUAUUCUUCAAUCUUUCAAAUAAUUGGGUGCGACUUUCAGCUAGUGGGGUGAAGUUUUGGGGAGGUUUCUUUUCGUGGUUUGGACGCUGGGGGUUAUACGGGCUUAGGUUUGUAGGAGGGGGAACUUGGUGGUAAUUUGGAGGUGUUUGGAAAUUUGUUCGGCUAUUUGGAGGAGUAGUUUGGAAAUGAAACUGAUAAUUUAGAGGUGGAACUGGGUAUUGGGGAAAGAUAUUUGGCUGUAGAGCUUGGUAUGAUGGUGGGAUGUUUGGGAGUGGAGUUUGGUAUUGGGUUUAGAUGUAGAAUGCGUGCGGAAGGUUAGGUGAUGGCAGGAAAGAUAAAACGUUUCUAGAAUUGAACCUUUGUUUCAAUUUUGUAACAGAAUUGGUAGAAACCCCACCUACCUCUUCCUUCUUCUUCUUAGAAAACAUGGCAGUUUCAGAAGAUGUUGGGGUUUUGGCAAUUUUUCCUGUCCGAAUACCUUUCUCUAAUGAUUCUCCUAUGUUUACCAAAUCUGCAAAGGUCACUCUGACAGCGGACACCAUCCUGGUAUAAUAUUAUCCUUCUUAAGCACAAGAGAACAUGGAUACCAUUUCCUCCUCGGACAUGGGGGGCUACAAUUUGGCAGCUUCUUUCCUCCAACGAAAAGCAUAAUCUUGAAAACUCUCAACGCUUUUUUGUUUAAUCCGAUCUAGUAAUAUCGAUCAGGGACUAUUUCAAUGUUGAAUGCGAACCGGUCAAGGAAACUCUUGGCCAAUGUCCUCCAACCAGUCCACCUUUUCGGCUCCUGAGAGAUGAACCACUCCAAGGCUUCACCAAUCAAACUUCGACUGAAUAGGCGCAUUAAUAACGCCUCAUUUUUCCCUAUCUCUACUAGUUGCUCGCAGUACCUUCUUAGAUGGGCCAUUAGAUUUCUGGUACCAUCAAACAUCUCAAACUUAGGGACCUUGUAUUCUUCUGGUAGGUCUACUCCUGGGUGAACACACAAAUCGUCAUACCCCAAACCGUCGUGGUCCUUGGCCCCGUGAGACUCUUUGUUCCUCAUGAUCUACUCUUGCAUGGCUAGUAAAUUCCUUUCAUACUGGGCCCUCCAUUCCUCCUCCUUCUCUUCGUAAUGGUCCAUCUCGGGGUUAGGAAGGGGUUCAUAAAUAUCAGGGGAUAUGAUGGCUUGAGGGGGAUUUGGAAGGAAGGCUUGAUUUUGCAGAUGGUGGGAAUUUGGUUGGUAAGUAGGGAGAACAUUUUGGAAAUUCAAAAGGUUAUGUGGGGAUUGUGAGUAGUUUGGCGAAAUAUGAGAGGGAUUUUGCGGAUUUGGAAAUGAAUUUGGUAUAUUCGAAGGUAGGUUUGCCAUAUUUUGUGUAUUUGGGAGUAAAUCUUGCGGAUUUGGGAAUGCGUUUUGUUGAUUUGAGAAUGUGUUUUGAGGAUUUGGGAAUGGAUUCGAAGACGGGUUCUGUGGGGUUGCGGAUGGAAUUUGUGGAUGGUAGGCGUCUGGAUUAUUUUCACGAUUAGCGUUUUGGACAAAUGAAGGAGUAGAGCCGGAUGAUAUGUUAGUUGGAUGGUCCCCGAGAAUAGGGGUACUGUGGGAAGGGAUUUGGAGUGGAGUCCCGUGUCCCCCCGGAGCAGGGGCAUUGACGGUGAUGGACAAGUUAGCCAAUUCUCGAGUGCGAUUUAUUUCCUCCUGAAGCAAUUCUAAUUUUCUUGUAAGUUCCGCAAUCAUCUCAUUCUGUUCCGCUAUCACAUUAUCCCGGAUAGCCAGUGAGUUUUCUUCGUCAUUUCCUGUCAUUUUUGAAUGAUGGUCCGAGGAUGGGAUUUUUUGUGUUUUCGAUUGGGUGAAGUAGGGAUGUUCUGCCAGUUUAUCAAUACGGAGUAAUUUCUGUUAUCUCAAAGUAAAACAACUCAAAGGUAAAUAUGUUAGUUUCUGUAUGUGAUAAGUAAUGCAAAAUAUUUGACAGGAAAUAAUCACGCAGAGUUGUUCGAGUCAUAGCUAAAUUCAUCUGUAGGUCAUAGUGUAUAAACUUGCCUUUGAUCUCAACCAACGCAUAUAAGCACAUAAAACAGUUAUAUCACACAAGACAUUAAAAUAACGCGUAUCGUAAUUGGGGUGACCCUUUUUGAGCCAAGGGUUCAAGCCUAAUGAUUUUUUGAAGAAAAUAUAUGCUUCCUCAAAGUCAAUCCAUUAACCCCUAACUCAUAUAGACGCAAAAAGAGGCAUAAAUGCCUACAAAAGAUAACGAAACAGGGAUACAAUUUUUAGGGAAAAGGGGAAAUACCAUGAAAGAAGAUAAGUUCCCGCACAGGGAAGAAUAGAAAAGCUAGCUACUGGAGCCUUGUUCGUCUGCUUUCGCCUUCUUUGCCUUGUUUACCUCAUGUGCUAUUUGGUGCCUAUUGAUGAUAAGGUGACUCCCGCAUAAUUGUGCCUUGCAGUCGUAAGUCAUUUCUCCUAUGCUGUCGAGUUGGGAGGCUAUGCUAUCAUCCAAAUCGAUUAGGCAUUGCCUGGCAUCAUCAGCAUCUUGCCUAGCUCUUUUCAACUCUUCCCUCAAUGUAUGUAUGAUCAAAGUGUCUUCCAUUUGCAUCUAUCGGUGCACAAUUUCACUUUUUUGGAACUCAUCUUGUAGCCUGUGAAGCCGAAUUUGAUGCUCGAAUUCUACAUCCACAACCCGAGUAGGCACAUUUGGUCCCAGAUUCAAUGCUCCGGCGAGGCUCUUUUUCAACCACUCUUUGUAAGUGUCGCUGACUUCAGGUUUAUACCCUAUACGGAAAGAGAAUUCUACCCACUUUUUCCUUCUCGGGAUGGUAGGGGCGGGUUCCCCUGAGACUCGGGAGCACUAAAAAAGGCCAUUCGCCCCCUCGAAUGAUGUAUUUCCCUAAACGAAGAUAGUUAAGGGACCAUUGGACAUCGCCAUCUCUUAAUUCUCCAAGAGUCUUAAACCAAAAUUUGUGGGAUGCUUUUCUUUUGAACUUAUGUAAAAAUAACCACAUGUCGUGCGAUUCUAGCAGAUUUCUCCUUGGUUUGUGAUCAGUUUAUGUCGUUCUAGGAUUUUUCACCAAAUGCAUCAUCAUCCACUAUUGUAAUAUAAGGUUGCAGCCUUGAAAGAAACGAUUCUCGACUUGGCAUCUUCCCAAAGCGCGAUAUAUGUCGGUGACAAUCAUGGGGGCUAAGUUGUGGAAUACUUUUUUAGAAUUGUAUUCCAUUCCAAAGAAGAGUGCAUGGGUCACUAUGACAACCCUCGGAUGAAUUGUGUCAUUUUCCCCUACGGGAACACCAUGGUUCUAAGUAGGCCUACCACGAAUCCAAAAGCUCUCGUUUCCUUCCAUUUUGCUUCCGACUUCAAUUUAUGCCCAAAUUUGUGAAAAGAGUUAAAUCUUAUGAACCGACGGUACAACUCAUGAAAAUUGAUAUUUGCUCCAUCCCGUUCUCCUAGCCCGGUGUCGUGAUCAAUUAAAAAUGCUUCCUUGAUCUUCUGACGAUCCCACACAUCCGGGACUAAAAUAUUCUUAUCGGUGUCUCCUUUAUCUUCAAACACAUUUCCGUACUCUCGUAGCAAAUCAAUACCUCUUCAAUGAUGGGGGUCAAUUCAACAUCCCCAAAGUGAAAUACCAUGUUCUGAUCAUCCCAAAAAGUUGUUAGUUCAUGGAUAAUUUCGGGCCAAGUGUCCAUCUCGAUCAAAGAAGGAAGAUGCCCAAUGUGUGUUCUAGCAAUCUUUCUCUCUUCUGUACCCAUGUAAUCCUACCACAGUUUCAGGUAAUCGUCGGGUUUGGUGACCAUCUUGAACUUUCCACGAGAAUGCAAUUGAGCCAUACCUACAUAAAAGAAGACAAAAUAAGCCUUUCCCCGACCCCAAAGGAUAAUGGAUUGAAUUUAGAGAAACAUAUAUUUCUUUAACACAUAAGCAUGGUUGGUCUGUGAUUGACUCGGGGUCAAAUAGAUAUAGGGUAGGUUUUCUAAUAGGCCCAACACCCCGCUCGGAUAUUGGGUCGUCCUAGGCACAUGCCUAAAAUAGAGUUUUGGUUUCGUUCUAUCUUCGGUGUCUAGAGUGGGCUUGGACACUGGUUCUCAAGCGGACAACUUGAGUUUGAAAAUACGAACAGCGUCAGACGACUCACGUGCUGAUAAGUUGUUCGUAUUUCCAACAUAUUUUGGAAUUGAACAACAAGGGUCAGGACAUCCACGAAACCCCAAAACAGUUUAUAAGAUGCAGGAAAUGCCAUAAGAUGCGAUAAUUAAACUUUACAUAAUCGAAACACAUAAACACAUAAAUAGUUAAUCAAAGAUGAAAUAAAAUAUUUGAUUAGAACCUAGUUAGAUCCCCAGCAGAGUCGCCAUUUCUGUUUUGCGAAAAUUUUGACUUUUGAAGAGAAUCGCCACUUAAUUUUGAAAAGGAAUUAAGAAACCUUUAGAGAGUUACUUCAAACGAUUCAAAAUAGUAAAAUCGUUUUAAGUUAGAGAUUCUAGAUAAGAGGUUCCUAUUAAUGUUUUAGAAAAGUUUUAGGCACCUAAAACGUCCGCUAACUUGCGGUUAUCCGGACUGUUUAAAAAUCGUCUUUUGAUUAACUUCAAAAAGAUUAAUUUAUUGAAAUAGUGAUUUGAUUUUUUCAAAAAAAAAAAGACGCGUAAAAUAGAUUUAGGUGACUUAGUAGGGAUUUUAACUAAGUCUAAACAAAACUAAUAAACAAAUAAACACAUAAAAGGAGAAGGGAGGAGAAAGUAAAGGAUUUAGUCCAUUAGGCCGAAAUCAACGAGACCUGUCCUAAUCUAGUUGGGUCUCCAGCCCAUUUCACCUGUCCUAAACUAUUUUUCGAGCCUUUGGCUCGAGUAUUGCCCCACCUAUAUUAAAUACAACUUUGGCUUCGAGGACGAAAUAAAUAAAUAAAUAAAUGACUAAAUGAAUAAAUAAAAAGAAGACAAUAAUAAAAAUUGAGACUUUUCAAGUCUUUUAGUGACCUCAUCAAUGGGUUUUGACCCAUUUUCCUUCUUUGUCUAUCUUCUAGCACCCGCACGCCAUAUAGUGGACCUUGGGUUUAAACUUCAAACUUGACUUGAAGGGGUGAGCCUUAUUUACCCAUUACGAAAUGCAGGAAAAGAGGAGUCCAGUUAGACUCGAGAUAUUUUUUGCAUACAAAGAAAAGAUAAAGAAAUUAAUAUAUGUUCAAGGCAUAAAAGUGACAUAUUUCAAAGUAAAAUAAACUAUCAAGAACCAAUUUUUGAAUGACAAUGAUAAGCACACUUGCACAAGAAUGAGAGUCAACAAAUAAAAAAUGCAAACCAAAAGUUUCACAAUCAUACUAUGCAUGAGUCAAAAAUAUCUAAAUAAUUUUAUUUAGCCACAAAAGUUCGAACUUUCUUAUCAUUUUGAAAAGACAACAUGCGAACAAAGAAGAAUANNNNNNNNNNNNNNNNNNNNNNNNNNNNNNNNNNNNNNNNNNNNNNNNNNNNNNNNNNNNNNNNNNNNNNNNNNNNNNNNNNNNNNNNNNNNNNNNNNNNNNNNNNNNNNNNNNNNNNNNNNNNNNNNNNNNNNNNNNNNNNNNNNNNNNNNNNNNNNNNNNNNNNNNNNNNNNNNNNNNNNNNNNNNNNNNNNNNNNNNNNNNNNNNNNNNNNNNNNNNNNNNNNNNNNNNNNNNNNNNNNNNNNNNNNNNNNNNNNNNNNNNNNNNNNNNNNNNNNNNNNAAAUAAUCAAAGAAUAAGGUGAAAAGGCAAAACAUUCAACAUUAACUAUUCUUCUAAACAUAAAGAUAAUAACUUUACAUACUAAAAACAAAGGUAUCCAACAACAAUGAGUUUAAAAAAAGCAUAAAUACAUCUUUUAAGCAAAGAUUGAAACUUUAUCUAAAAUAAUCAAAGAAUAAUGUCAAAAAAGGCACAUACAACUAUUGCUAGCUCAUUUUUAUAUCAUGAACAUGAAAAUAAUUAGAAUAUCAAUUCCACAACAUCCUAGGGCCUUCAAGGUCAUCUAUAACAUUCAAUCCCAACAAAUAAAAUUAUAUCUAUGAACUACGAAGAAGAAAAAAGAUGAAGAGAAAAACGAUAAUAAAAACUAAAAUAAUAAAAAAAAAAAAAAAAGAGAAAAAAAAGGUGUUUUUACCUUUUGGGGGCAGCAAAACAAAACUACGAGUUUCGUUGGAAUCAACCACCACCGAAAAACAUCGCCGGCAACUCAAAAAUUUUGAUUAGCCGAUCAACAUUAUGAAACAAAAAUUUUUACUAAAUAAAAAUAACUAUUUUUGUUCAAAAGGAUUUUCUUUCCCCUUUCUAGCCUUUUUUUUCUUCCUUCUCCUUCCUCUCUCUACCAAAGUAGUGGUAGUAUUUAUAGGAGAGAAUGGGGUAUUUUUUUUUCCUUUUCCACCAAUGUGGGAGAAAAGUAUUUAUAGAAAAGGAUAGAGAUUUAUUUCUUGUCAUCUAUCAAUGUAGGAGAAAAAGCAUUUAGGGGAGUUUUUGGAAUAUAAAAGUUAAAGAUAAGGUGAGGCGGAAGAUAAUGUGGGGAGAAAUAGUACAAUGUAGUACAAUCUUUGAAUUUCAAAAUUGCAAAAGGAUAAAGUUGGGGGAAAUAGUACAAUUUGACUUUAUUUUUUGGUGGGAAUUGGGUAAAAAUUAUGAGAGUUUUUGAGAAUUUUGGUGUUAUUUAAAAUAUAACCCCAAUUGGAAUUUAAAAUUUAGCCAUAUUUAUUUAUUUUGACCAAAUUAAAAAUUAAUUGACGAAUUACAUUGCAAUUAUGACCAAUUUUUAAUUAUGGUCAAAUCUAAUAGAUUGGCUAAAUUAAAUUAAAAUUCGAUAAGAAUUAAUACCUUUUUUUUAAUCCCGAGCUUCUUGAUUUAAUAAAAUGAAUGCAUAUUUAUCCAAAUAAAUUAUUUUUGAGAAUAAAUUAUAUUUAAAUUAAGAUUUUAAUCAUUUGAAUUUAUUUUCAAGAUAAGCCUUAAUUAAAUCCAAUAUUUUGUAAAAUAAAUAUUUAAGUAACAAAUUAUAUAAUCUCUUAUAACUGAACACGAUAGUAUAUAAUCGCUACUUAAAAUGAUAAAAUCACGUACGAAAAAUAUUUUAAGUUUUUUUCUUUUAUUUGGAUGAAAUAAUUAUUUUGGUUUAUUAAAAACUGAAGAAACUUAAGAUUAAAUUUAGUCGUAGAGAUCAAAAAUUAGGUGUCAACAAUGUCCAAUGGAGUCAUCGCCUUCCUAGUUAACCACCUCUUUUUCCCCUAGAUUAGGCUUCUUUGAUUCUCGAACUCUUUGACUCUUCUGUUGACUGCUCUAAGGCUACCAUUAUUUUGCUUCUUGACAUGACAUGACAAUGGCAGGUUUUAAGUUACUGUUAUACAACGGGCGAUGAGUCAUGAGUGGAGUGGAGGUCCAAUUCAAUAAUGUUUCCUCCAAUUAAUCUUCCAUGAUUCCUAUUGUCUUGAAAAAUUCUUCCCUCACAUUUUUCCUUAUUCCAUCCUCAAAACUAUCGCUUACAGCUUUGAAAAAUGAUUGGUAGAAUCUAGUUUUACUACUAGUCAUUUUUCUUUUCCUGUAACAAAGCUAUAGUCAAGAAGCGAAUCUCUCAUUCAUUUUUAUCUGGUGAAGUAGGGUCAUUUUGUGCCAACACAGAGUAGUUUAUAUUACCUGCAAAGUAAAAAUAACUCAAACGAUGACGUGUUAGAUUCUGUUAGUAAUAAGUAAAGCAAAAUGAUAACGUAGGAAGUAAACACAUAGAGUUGUUUCUCAUCUCAUGCGAAUUGAUCCAUGAAAUAAUAAUGACUCGAGGAGUUCAAUGAACAAGAUUUUGCUCAAUGAUAUGAAUAGGUGGAAUUUGUCGAGAAGGUUCAACUCUUCUUCUUCCUUCAAGAAAGUGGAGGACAACAGAGCUUUUGGAGAUAUGGGUCGGGCUGAAAGACUGCCUACGUAUCUCGCAGAUGAGAAAUCAGGCCCUACGCAGUUCAAAACUAGAACAGUUUUUUUUAUUCUAAAGUCAACUUUCCUAAAAUGGUAGCGAUCAUUUUGAAAGUUUUAAGAAUGACUACGGACUUUUCUAAGAAAUUUAGGAGACUUGGAGUACUUUUAGUCAGACUUUUGUAUAGUAAGGUAUAUUUCUGCCUAGAGAUAUUCUAUGGAAAAUGGGAUUAGAUUAGUUCACCUUUGAUUCGAAUAAACAUAACACGUAUAAGCAUAUAAAUAGUUAUAUUACACAAGCAUAUUGUAAUAAUCGUGCAUCCUAAUUAGGUGACCCUUUUGAGCCAAGGAUUUGGGCCUAACAAAUUUUGAAGAAAAAAUAUAUGUUUGCUUAAGGUCAAUCCAUUAUCCCCAAACUUUUAUAGACACUAAAAGGGCAUAAAUGCCUACAAAAGAUGACGAAAGAGGGAAACAAUCUUUAGGGAAAGGGAAAUAACAUGAAAAAAGAUACGUUCCCACACGGGAUAAAAAAUACUAAUUCCUGAGUGCUACUUCUAUCAGUCUUCCCCUUCUUAGCUUCAUCCAUUUCUUAUAUUGGUGACAUACAUUGAUGUUCAAACUGUACCUUAAAUGCAACCUCCCAAAUAGUUCAAUUUUUUGCUUAACUUGCUUCAAUUCUUCUUACAAAAGUAAGCAAAUCAAGUUAUUUCCCAACUCCCAAAAGAUAAUGGGCUGAAAUAGACAAGCAUACAUUUUCUUCUACACAUAAAUAUGGUUCGUCUAUAAUUGACUCGGAGUCAAUAGACGCAGGGCAGGUUUUCUAAUGGGCCCAAUACCUCGCUUGGGUAUUGGAUCAUCUGUAACAACCCGUAUUCAAGUAAUAUAUUGGCGUAUUCAAGUACGUGUAUUGGUCUUAUUUAUAUGAAAUUAAUUUUAUUUUAUUUUAUUUAUACCGGAAUUUGCCCGUCGAUGGUUCCAUACGAAGGUUAUUGAAUAAGCUUUCCAACGAUAUAAAGAUUUCCAAAAACGAAUAGGUUUCGGAUAUAAUCGAGCACGUUCGAAACUAUAAAACGGUGGCCGGGAUAUUGGGAAUAGUAAAUGUGCAGGAAAAUUUCCUGCACACAAACUACUGAGGUCAGCCAUUUUUUUGGGUCAACUUUGAACGAUCAUAACUACCUUAAUAUAAUGAACUGGGAGAGCUUCCACCUAUGAAAAGAAAGAUCUUUGAGUCUUCUUUCCAAUGCAAUUGGUUUCAUCCAAAUCCGACAUCUGAGUAAUGAGUUAUACUCGUUUUACUUCAGCCUCUCAAAACAGAUUUUUAAGAUCAACUUCAAACAAUCAUAACUCCUUGUACAGGACGAACUGGGUGGCCUAAUUUAUAUGAAAUGAAAUCCCUUUGAAUUAUCUUUCCAACGAUACCAAUUUCACCCAAAUAUGAUAUCGGAGGAAAGAGUUAUGGUCGAUUUACUUUAGCCUAUCAAAACAGUCCACCAUGGACAGAUUCGGAUUUACUUAAAUUUUAAGGGCAAUAUGGUCAUUUUCCAUCACCUCAUGGACGAAAAUUGGUCAUUAUAUACAUAUACUUAGCCUCAUAUCCAUCAUUUAUCAUCCAAAUUAUUGAAGAAUAAGAAACCCUAGCCUAAGUUCAACUCCAAUUAUCUUGUGAUUCAACCGUAGAAAAUCCAAAUUGAUUCCGUAGUUGUGUUCACCGUCUCGAGGGCUUCGAGAAGCACCCCUUAUUUGUGCCAACAGGACUUCGAAAUCAAAAGGGCCAUUUUAUAGUAAGGAUGUCAAUUAUGUUGGUGUUAUUUAUAUGGAUAUGUAUAUAUAUAUAUAUAUGCAUGUGCGCAUAAGAAGUAUGUUAUUUGAUUGUUGUUGAAAGAUGAUUGAAAAUGAUGUUGGAUUAUUCUUGUGCAUAGUUGGAUUAUGUUGAAUUGUGAAGGAAUUUGGUGUGAUGAUAUGGUAUUGAAAUGAUGAUUAUAUAUAUAUAUAUACACCUAAACCGAUUGUUCAAGUUAAUUUUUGAAAUGCUUUGCAAAUAUUGAUUGUAUGGAAUUAUGGAAGAGAAUUGUGGUGUUGGGUUGCUAAUACUAGAUGCCAAACAUUUCAUUGUAGAUAAGUGAUUUAUAAAGGCGGGAAGUUGUGUUGAAUUAGUAUCCGAAUCUACAACGAGGUAUGUAAAGCAUACUCUAACGAUGUUCUUUGGCAUGAAAACACCAAUGUUCCAUCAAGUAAGAUUCCGAGGUUGUCCAAAAACAUGUAUUGUUCUACAUUACCAACGAAGUUGUUUCCAUUCUAUAAAGUGUCAAAAUGUUUCAUUGAUAUACCGAAAGGCUCCUAUUUCAUUGUUGUGAUAUUGAUGAUUCCGAAACACAUUGUUGAUGUACCAAUGAGUCUUUAUUACAUCGUUAUUGUAUAGAAAGUCUAUUACUUGGUUCCUAUUGAUGUAUCAUUAUUCCAAAGGUACUAUAUUGGCAUGAACACUAAUGUAAUAAUCUCAAAAGCUUUUGAACUAAGUUAUUGGAAAGAUCUCUUAUGUGUGUUACUUGAUAUACGUGUGGGUGGUAGCUCAGGGGCUUAAGCCUAGCAUGGGCCGAUCCCGAUAUUUGAUAUGAUUACAGUUGAUAUGUACUGGGGGCAGCCUAAUGGUCACAGUACGGUACAGUAUUGAUUAUUGUUAGGUGGUUGGAGGUUCGGGAGGAGGAGGUAAUGGCGAAUGAUAAUUGUAAAGAAUGAAAUGAACGAAUGUAUACCGUUCCACAAAUGUGUUUGAAUUCAAGAACCCAAUUCAGAUUAAUGAUAAGAUAAUGUACAUGAUCCUAAAAGUGUUUAUGAAGUGUGGUUCACUUCUAUUAUGAUUUAUUCACUUGCGUCUGAUUUUCUUGAUCCCCCAUACCACAUAUGAUUAUUUACAGCUUUACAUACUCAGUACAUAUUUCGUACUGACGUCCCUCACGGGGGACCUGCAUUUCAUGCUGCAGGCACAGGUGCUUCAGCUCAUUCACAGCAUAGAUAGGAGCCAGGUCAUACAUCUAUUGUUGGUGAGCUCCAAUUUGCUUCGGAGCUUUCCGAGUCGGUCCCUUAUGUUUUCUUAUUGUACAGGAGUCAUGUGUCGGCGAGGGUUUGUCCCGACCCUAAUUAUGUCAUGUAUAUCCUAGAGGCUUUGUAGACAUAAGAAAGGGUAAAGUCAUGGAAGUUCAUAUAGUGAUGUUAUAUUUUUAUAUGUGGUGGCCCCGACGGCCAAGUAUUAUAUACAUAUAUAUUUGUGCGUGUUGUGCUGAUACAGGUAAUUAGACCCUUCUAUAUGCAACGAAGUGCUGGCCAAAUUUUUGGUGACAUGAAAGUGAAAGUACAGGUAUUUAAACGGGUUCUCCCGGGCCUUCUCGGCUUCGGGUGCCAGUCCGGCCCNNNNNNNNNNNNNNNNNNNNNNNNNNNNNNNNNNNNNNNNNNNNNNNNNNNNNNNNNNNNUUGUGUGUGUUGUGCUGAUACAGGUAAUUAGACUCUUCUAUAUGCAACGAAGUGCUGUCCAAAUUUUUAGUGACAUGUAAGUGAAGGUACAGGUAUUUGAACGGAUUCUUCCGGGCCUUCUCGGCUUCGGGUGCCAGUCCGGCCCGAUAGGAUUUUGGGGCGUGACAUCAUCCUAGGCUUAUGCCUAAUAUAGGACUUUGGUUUCAUUCUAUCCUAAAUGUCUAGAGUAGGUUUGAACAUUGGUUCUCAAGCGGACAACUUGAGUUUGAAAAUACGAACAGCCAUUAGACGACUCAUGUGCUAAUAAGCCGUUCGCAUUUCCAACACAUUUUGAAAUUGAACAACGGGGGCCAGGACAUCCACGAAACCCCAAAACAGUUUAAAUAAUGCAGGAAUAUGCCAUGAGAUGCGAUAGUUAAACUUUACAGAAUCGAAACAUAUAAACACAUAAACAGUUAAUCAAAAGACGAAAUCAAACAUUUGGUUAGAACCUAGUUACAAAUCCCUAGCAGAGUCGUCAUUUCUGUUUUGUUGAGAAAUUUAGACUUUUUGAGAAGAGUCGCCACUUAAUUUUGAAGAAAAAUUAAAAAAACCUUUAUAGAAUUACUUCAAAUGAUUCAAAACAGAAAAAUCAUUUUAAAUUAGAAAUUCUAGAUAAGCGGCUCCUAUUAACGUUUUAAGAAGAUGUUAGGCAACUAAAAUGUCCGCAAACUUGCAGUUAUUCGGACUAUUUGAAAACAUCUUUUGAUUAACUUCCGAAAAGAUUAAUUUGUUGAAAUAGUGAUUUGAUUUAAAAAAAAAAGAUUUGUGUAAAAUAGAUUUAGGCGACUUAAUAGAGAUUUUAACUAAGUCUAAACAAAACUAAUAAACAAAUAAACACAUAAAAGGGGAAGUGAGGAGAAAGUAAAGGAUUUAGGCCAUUGAGCCCAAAUCAACUAGACCUAUCCUAGUCUAGUUGAGAUUCCGACCCAUUUCACCUGUCCUAAACUAUUUUUCGAGCCUUUGGCUCGAGUCUUGCUCCACCUAUAUUAAAUACAACUUUGGCUUCGAGACCGAAAUAAAUGAAUAAAUAAAUGACUAAAUGAAUGAAUAAAAAGAAGACUAAUAAAAAUUGAGACUUUUCAAGUCUCUUAAUGACCUUGUCAAUGGAUUUUGACCCAUUUUCCUUCUUCGUCUAUCUUCUAGCACCCGCAUGCCAUGUACUGAACCUCGGGUUUAAACUUCGAACUUGACUCGAAGGGGUAGACCUCAUUGGCCCAUUACGGAAAUGCAAAAUGAGAGGAAUCCAUUUGGACUCGAGACAUUUUUUUUUUGCAUGCAAAGAAAAGAUAAAGAAAUUAAUAUACGUUCAAGGCAUAAAAGUGACAUAUUUCAAAGCAAAAGAAAAUAUCAAGAACCAAUUUUGAAUGAUAAGCACACUUGCACAAAAAAAAGAGUCAACAAAUAAAAUGCAAAGCAAAGACACCCACUUACAUGCCUCAUGAUUUAUGUUCAUACAAGAAUGAAUAAAGGUAAAAGAAAGAAGGCCAUAUUCAAUAAAUUAAUGCAAGAAACAAACAACGUAAGCUUGCGAAAGUAAAAGGAUAAGGCAACGAGGAAAAUACUCAUGACUUCUAAAAUUGAACAAACAUAGAUACCAAUCCAUAUAACCAAAGAAAAUAAAGGUUAACUUUUCAAGCAAGAGAAUCUUUAAAUUUCAAUUAAGGUGACAUUAACGAAAAUUCAUACAUCUAAAUUCUUUUAUAUUAUGAAUCAAUGAGAGACACGAAUCAAGUCUUUACACUCACAAAGAGCACAUAUGAUAAUCCAAAGGGCGCAAGAAAAUUAGAAUAAAAUUUAGCAUUUCUAAAAGUGAAAUAUUGUUUCACAAUCAUAAAAUGCAUGACUCAAAAAUAUCUAAAUAAUUCUAUUUAGCCACAAAAAUUUGAACUUUCUCAUCAUNNNNNNNNNNNNNNNNNNNNNNNNNNNNNNNNNNNNNNNNNNNNNNNNNNNNNNNNNNNNNNNNNNNNNNNNNNNNNNNNNNNNNNNNNNNNNNNNNNNNNNNNNNNNNNNNNNNNNNNNNNNNNNNNNNNNNNNNNNNNNNNNNNNNNNNNNNNNNNNNNNNNNNNNNNNNNNNNNNNNNNNNNNNNNNNNNNNNNNNNNNNNNNNNNNNNNNNNNNNNNNNNNNNNNNNNNNNNNNNNNNNNNNNNNNNNNNNNNNNNNNNNNNNNNNNNNNNNNNNNNNNNNNNNNNNNNNNNNNNNNNNNNNNNNNNNNNNNNNNNNNNNNNNNNNNNNNNNNNNNNNNNNNNNNNNNNNNNNNNNNNNNNNNNNNNNNNNNNNNNNNNNNNNNNNNNNNNNNNNNNNNNNNNNNNNNNNNNNNNNNNNNNNNNNNNNNNUAGGAGAAAAGGCGAAACAUUCAACAUUAACUAUUCUUUUCAACAUAAAGAAAAUAACUUUACAUGCUAAAAUCAAAUAUAUCCAACAACCAUGAGUUUAAACAAAGCAUAAAUACAUAUUUUAAGCAAAGAUUGAAACUUUAUCCAAAAUAAUCAAAGAAUAAAGUAAAAAAAAAAAAAAAAACACAUACAACUAUUGUUAGCUCAUUUUUAUAUCAUGAACAUGAAAAUAAUUAGAAUAUCGAUACCACAACGUCCUAGGGCCUUUUAAGGCCAUCUACAACAUAAAAUUCCAGCAAACAAAAUAAUAUCUACGAACUAUGAAGAAGAAAAAAGAUGAAGAAGAAAACGAUAAUAAAAACUAAAAAAAAAUGUGUUUACCUUUUUGGGGGUAGAAAAACGAGACUACGAGCUUCGUCGGAAUCAACCACCACCGAAAAAAUGUCGCAGGCAACUUGAAAUUUUUUAUUAGCCGACCAACUCUAUGAAACAAAAAUUUUUACUAAAUAAAAAUAACUAUUUUUCUCAAAAAGGAUUUUUCACCUUUCUAGCCUUUUUUUUUCCUUACUUUUUUACCAAAGUAGUGGUAGUAUUUAUAGGAGAGAAUGAGAUUUUUUUUUUCCACCAAUGUGGGAGAAAAGUAUUUAUAGGAAAGGAUGGGGAUUUAUUUCUUGUCCUCCACCAAUGUGGGAGAAAAAACAAAUAAGGGUGUUUUUGAAAUUUUAAAAUUGAAGAUAAGGUGAGAUGGAAGAUAAUGUGGGGGAAAAUUGUACAAUAUAGUACAACUUUUGAAUUUUAAAAUUGGAAAAAGACAGUUGGGGGGAAAUAGUACAAUGUAGUAUAAUUUGAAAUUAUUUUUGUUGUGAAAUUAGGUAGAAAUUAUGAGAGUUUUUGGGAAUUUUGGGGUGGAUUUAAAAUUUAGCUAUAUUUAUUUAAUUUUGACCAAAUUACAAAUCAAUUGACGGAUUGCAUUACAAUUAUGGCCAAUUUGAUUUCAAUUAUGGCCAAAUCUAAUAGAUUGGCUAAAUUAAAUUGAAAUUCGAUGCGAAUUAAUUCUUCCUUUAAUCCCGGGCUUCUUGAUUUUAUAAAAUCAAUCACAUAUUUAUACGAAUAAAUUAUUUUUUGAGAGUAAAUUAUAUUUAAAUCAAAACUUUAAUCAUUUGAAUCUAUAAGCCUUGAUUAAAAUCCGACAUUUUAAAAAAUAAAUAUUUAAGUAACAAAAUUAUAAAAUCUUCUAUAAUUGAAUACGAUAAAUUAUAAUCACUACUUAAAAUGACAAAAUUACGUACAAAUAUAUUUAAUAAAUUUUUAUUCGGAUGAAAUAAAUAUUUUAAUUUUAUUAAAAAUCAAAGAAACUUAGAAUUAAAUUUAAUCGUGGAGGGAAAAAAUUAGGUGUCAACAAGGACAUCCAAUUCUCAAUCCAAAAAGGUUUGGUGUGGAUGACGUCGAAGGCAUAGAUGAAAAGCUACUAUGCAGACUAUUUUGGGAAGAAGGGGUGUGAAACUGGUCAGACGGUCGGAGCAUGAAAAAUGUAUUUGAUAGUGAAAUAGUUGAUUUAGGGGGAGACGUAAGAUUUGUAGUAGUUGGUUGAAGAGUUAUGGUAACAAGUGGUGGUGGUGGUGUACAUUGAAUAUUGACCCGCAGGAAGAUUAUUAGGCCCUUUCUUACAUUUUUUACGUCGUCCAUUAACAUUACCUUUUGAUGCCAUUGAUUUUCUUUACUAACCACCU
rnacentral:lncRNA from 1 species